UAAGCUGUAAGAGAAACAAACUCCUUUGGGCAUUUUUAACAUUACCUCAGCAGAGGAAGAAAUGUCACAUGGUCCUAUACCGCACUGUCCUCAAAGGGAAUGUAUGCCUGGCCCCAAACAUAGCUUCCUCCUUAGCAGGACACAAACAAAGCAGCUAAAGAUGGAGGUUAAGGCCAGUCGACUGCUUCCAGGUUUGGGAACUGGAAGUCAGAAAUCAGGAGUUCGAGACCAGCCUGGUGAAGCCCCAUCUUUACCAAAAAAAAAAAAAAAAAGAAAGAAAGAAAAUACCAAAAAUGAGCCAAUGUCUACAGGGCUUCGCUCCCUCUAGAGGCUUCAGGGGAGGACACUUCCUUGACUCUUCCAGCUCCUGGUGGCUUCCAUGUUCCCUGGCUUGUGACUGCAGAGUUCCAACCUCUGCCUCCGUCUUUGCCGGGCCUUCUCCUCUUCUCCCACGGAGGCAGAGAAGCGUGUCCUCUCCUCUUCAGUCUCUUACAGGGACACUUGUCAUUGGAUUUAGGAUCCACCUGGAUAUUCCAGAAUGGUCUCAUCUUGAGAUCCUUAACUUUAAAGCACCUGCAAAGACUCUUUAACAAAGAAGUUACAUUUGCAAGUUCUGGAACAUGCUCAUAUCUUUUUGGAGGCCACUACUAAACCCCCUACAAUUCUCUUUACAUAAUUUCCCAAAACUGUUUCCCAAAAAGUUGCCAGCAGUAACCAAAUUCCAGAAGUGAAAGCAUGACCCUGGCCCAUGGUGACAAACCCGCUUUCUACCAAGUUGAUCACCACCUAACUGUUGAUUCUAGCCCUUCUAAUCUUUAGCCUGUGGUAGCAAGCCAGGUACAAUUUGGCAUUAAGAUCUAAGAAUGGCCAAAGUCUCUCAUUGCACGCAGUGCUACCCUGAUGCAGUGGAAACUACACUAAACAAGCUCCGUGGGAUCCUUGGGCCUUCUCCCGUCUCCAUGACUCAUUGGCUGGGAGACUUUGGAAAAUUUUCUCUGCUUCUGUGAACUUCAGUCUCCCUAUCUAUAAAAUGAAGACUAGAUUAGAACAGGGGUUGAUAUGCUAUAGCUUUUUUUUUUUUUUGGAGAUGGAGUCUCGCUCUGUCACCCAGGCUAGAGUGCAAAUAGCACAAUCUCGGCUCACUAGAACCUCCACCUCCCGGGUUCAAGUGAUUCUCCUGCCUCAGCCUCCUGAGUAGCUGAGAUUGCAGAUGCCUGCCACCACACCCGGCUAAUUUUUGUAUUUUUAAUAGAGAUGGGUUUUCACCAUGUUGGCCAGGCUGGUCUUGAACUCCUGACCUCAGGUGAUCCACCUGCCUCGGCCUCCCAAAGUGCUGGGAUUACAGGCGUGAGCCACUGUGCCUGGCCAGCCUGCUUUUUUAAAUAAAGUUUUAUUGGAACCCAGCCUUGUCCAUUUAUUUACAGAUCGUGUAUGGGGGCUGUCAUGCUGCAAGAGCAAAGCGGUUGCAACAGAGACAGAAUGACUCAGAAAAUGGAGAAUAUUUGCUGGCUAGCCCUUUACAGAAAAAGCUUGCCACCCCCUAGACAAGUACAGAGCUCUGUAAAGGGCCCUUCUAGCUGGGUUAUUUUGUGUUACUAUGGACCAGUUCCUCAUUUGAGCCCUGCCUAAAAUCUGAUGGUGGCCUGAGGAGCUGGCUAUGGAGAGGGAGCAGGACUGAAAAAAAGGCUCCAUCAGCCUCACAGUACCAGCAUUGCCCCUCCCCGGACAUCCUUGUGUGCACCGUGCUUCCGCAUUGCCUGCGCUCCCAGAAUUUAGCUCCCCCAGAUCUUCCACCCUGUUCUCCCCUUGGGGCUUGCCCCCUGCAACGGGCAGGAAAUGCAGACAGCCAGGGGACUUGUGGGUCCCUUUAAGGCCUUGAGACCUGGGGAAAUCCCCCAGUUCUCAGCCACCUAAGGACAACUCAUUCUCCCAGUCUAAGGGCCGAGUCAUUCUCACUUUGCUUCUAUCACUGUCCAGAUUCCAGCAAAAUACACCCUUCCACAGUCAAACCUCUACCUCCUUCAUUCUCCUCUCUUAUUUGUUAAACAAAUCCUGAUCUGCCUUUUUAGGCUGCUCUUGAAUUUUAUGGCAACAUAUAAUAAACAUCUGACUGCUUUUAUUUCUAUUUAACUUUUAUCUUGAAUGUCUCUGCUGUUUCAAACCAAAUAUUUACAGCAUCACACAGCCGCUGCAAUUUCAUUCCUCACCAAUACUGUCACUCCCUCCUGCUUGCACUCACCAGCCCCGUAGAGAGGCCGGGAAUGUUGGGGCGAAUGGUCUCUUGUGCCCCCACAGCAGGGCUUCCAGACUGGAUCUCUGAGUCACUGGACUCCCGGGAGAGCAGAUGGCUUUCCUGGCAGCCUGGCCCUCAGCUCGGAGUCAGGCCAUCUCUGGUGACUGAAGGGCUUUCUGUACUUGGUGUCUUCACACAUCGGUACUAGGUUGGGUCUGGCUGUGAGAAAGACCCUCGCAUGCUCCAUUAAGGAGCAAACCUGGGGAAUUCGAGCACCUCUGUCUUCUCAAAGGCCUCUCUUUUUCUCAGUACCCUCAGGUUUGGCCCAAGGCCUCGGAGUGCAGCUCCUUGGUCCACCUGUGCUUGUCCCUGCUUUUCUGGCCCACCAAAAAGUGCUCCUGACAGCCCUAACCACCUACUCUUCACCAAGGCUCUCUGGUCCUGUGUGGUCCAAAAGGCCGACUGCAGAUGCUCUUUUGAGUCCAGGGCCCUAAAGAAAGCAGUCCUACCUGGUGGGGGAUGACACUCUGGACCUGGAGUCUGAAGACCUCGUUUUCUGUCUCUGAGCUUCAGUUUUCUCAUCUAUGAAAUGGGAAUCAUAACACACGCUUGAUGUGACUCUCAGGGCUGCCCUAAGGAUACUGAAAAAUGGCGAAUGACGGCGUGCUUUGUACACAGUGGGUCGUCCAAGGGGAGCCAGAGAGUGCCUCUUUCUGGCAUGCCUGAGCCUCCGGAGCUGGAGAAGCCUCCUUUGGUCUCCUAGACUGCCUUUUCUCCUCCCAUCUGUCUCAACCUGCACAAAUCCUGCCGGGCUCUGCACAUUGCUCUGUGUUGACGGAUCCACCAUAUUAGCCUUGCCUGGCCCUUUCCUUCGUCCUUAGAAGACUCAUGACUCCAGCUGAGCUUAUGGGUGAACUCUUUCACAGCAGAAACUGCUUUGCCCUUCCUUCCCCAUGGGCCUUGUACCUGGUCAAGCCUGCAUCUUUCAGCUCUCUGGUCAUCCAGAGGGAAGUCUCACAUGAGUCUUGGUGAGAAUCUUCAACUUGGCCGUGCAAGUUUUCUGAUACUUUCAAUCCAGUUCAAGAUAAGAUACAUACAGCAGUCACACACCCUGAAUCUCAGAUUCUCAGAGAGUCGCCACUUGAUUUAGGAUCUGACACCAUGGGUAGAUAUUGGAAUUCCAGUCUUAGCCUGCAAGUCACACAAUGUCUUUGAGCUUCAGCUUCCAAGCCUGCAAGAUGGGGCGAUAAGAGUUUACCUCCUGGGAGUUAAGAGGAUUAAAUAAGUUAACAGUUAAGUAAAAGUACUCUGAAAUGUUAGCUUUUAUUUUCAUCCUUCCCUCCUUGUGUAAGAAAAUAAUGUAAAUAGCCUUUAUUGCUCUUAGUUUUUCUUGUAAAAGCUGUGGGAAGGUGAAAUAACCUCAUUGAAAUAGAGCCAUUCAUAAGUAGGGUAGAUCAUUAACCGCUAUGAGAUAGAUGAUUAUAUUCCAUCAGGUUCCAAGCCGACAGCACCCAUUUUACAGUUUGGAACUGUGAAGUAUUUGUACUGUGUGAUCCACAGCUCUUAAACUUUCCAAGACUUAGUCAGUCCUUAGGUUCCAGACAAACUUUCAUCCCACCUACACCCCCAACCUACUCUCAUCAGGGUUCCCAAUGACUGCCAUAUUGCCAAAUCUAAUGAUCACUUCUCUGCCUGUAUCUUACUCCGUCUCUCAACAGUAUUUGAAAGAAUUGAUGAUGCCCUCCUUAAAGCUCAUUCUCAUGUGGCUUAGAGGACAGACCUAGCCUCCUACACCACUGGUCAAUCCUGAACUUCCUUUGCUGCUUCUUCCUUUUUCUCCUACCAACCUUUUAUUUUUGUUUUAAUUUAAUUUACUUUUUUUUUUUUAAGAGGCAGGGUCUCACUCUGUCACCCAGGCUGAAGUGCAGUGGGGUGAUCACGGCUCGCUGCAGCCUCGAACUCCUGGGCUCAAGCAAUCAUAUUGCCUCAUCCUCCUGAGUAGCUGGGACUAUAGCAACAUACCACCAUGUUUGACUGUUUUUUUAAUUUUUAUUUUAGUGGAGAUGGGGUCUUGCUAUGUUGCCUAUGUUGGUCUCAAGCUUCUGGCCUCAAGUGAUCCUCCUGCCUCAGCCUCCCAAAGUCCUAGGAUUAUAGUAUGGACAACUGAACCUAGCCUCUUCCCAACCUCUUAAUACUACAGGGCCACAGGGCACUCUUGUCUUUUCUUCUUCUAUAUGCAUAUUCUAAGUCACCUCAUAUCACUCCAUAAUGUUCAUGUACUGGCUACUUGCAAAUUUCCUGCCCAACUUCAAGCUUUCUUCUAAAUAUCAGAUCCUGAUGACCGACUACCUCUUUGGACAUCUCUUAGGCAUCUGAGCCUUGCCAUAUAUAAAACCUAACUCUUGUUUUCUUUUCUCAAACCUGAUCUUUCCUCAGUCUUCCCCAUCUUAGCAAAUGAUCCUUGAUGUGGGCUUAGGGGAAAAAGAAGAACCAAGGAUGAUCAAAGCUUUUAGCCUGAGCAACCUAGAAUGUUCACAUGUGAUGCUCUUUUCCUAGGCCCUGUCAUUACCCCCCAUUAGAUGAAGGUGCAAAUGUGGAUAUGCAUACACAGAGGAACAUAGACUGUAUAUAGAUUUGUUAUUAUCCCUCCAUCUCCCCUACAAGGAAGUGAACUCCCUGAGAGCAGGACAUUUAUGUCAGGUCCUGAGAAACCACAGUGAACAAAAUGGACUGGCACAUAGUAAGAGCUCCUCAAAUAUGCCUUGAAUGACUCCCUGACCUUGUAGAACAAAAAUGCUUCCUGGGUCUACAGAAUGAGAAUAGGCCACAAGAGAAGCGGGAAUGAAACUUGGAAACUCAAGCAUGAGUGCAUUUUUAAGACGAGAGUGCAUUUUUAAGACACAUCUCUGGGCUGAGGCAACGCAUUUACACACAUGUACUGUUUUUACUGAAUUCUGAACCAGAGAGCUAGAUGGAUAGAUGAUAGAUAAUUAAAUUGGUUCCAAUGACAGAGAGCUAAAUGGAUGUUUGUUUUUAUCAUGCCAAAUGAUCAUGCUUAUUUUCUGAAAUUUUCACUUCACAACUGCUUGUUUUGGUGUCAGGUAGAUACAUUUAAGUUAUCAAAACUUGCCUGGGAGGAGUGAGAAAAGAGUGUGCUUCUUGUCUCUGCUAUCAGCAAAUAUAAGCCCACCAGGUGACAAGUCCCUGCCAAGUUCCAGGACAGCAUGGGGAGCUGUGUAUGAUGCACUCAUGGAGUCUAAAAUCAGGUGGGCAUCCAGGUUGGAAAGAAAGAAGUAGAACUGUCUUUAUUCAACAGAUGAUAAGAUCACUGAUAUAGUAAAUCUGAUGAAAUCAACAAAAAGCUAAUAGAACUAAUAGGUAAAUUUUGCAAGAAUGCAGAACACAAGACUGACAUAAAAAAAGAAUUGCAUUUCUAUAUAUUAGCAAUGAACAAUCAAAACUCAUUAUUUUAAACAUAUCUUCCACAAUAGCAUCAAAAACAUAAAAUACUUAGGAGUAAAUCUGACAAAAGAUGUGAAAGACAUGCACACGGACAACAAAAUAUUGUGAGAUACGUGAAAGGAGCCCUGAAUAAAUGGAAAUAUACAGACCUUGUUCACAGGUUGAAAAACUCAAUGUUAAUAAGAUGUAAAUUCUCCCAAGUUGAUUUAAUCCUAUCUCAAUCAAAAUCUUAGCAUGCUAUGUGUAG
rnacentral:lncRNA from 1 species